rnacentral:snRNA from 1 species
GUGUUCACUUCAGCAACACGUAUACUAAAAUUGGAAUGAUACAGAGAAGAUUAGCAUGGCCCCUGCACAA